rnacentral:rRNA from 1 species
GACAGAGGGUGCAAACGUUGCUCGGAAUCACUGGGCGUAAAGGGCGUGUAGGCGGGAAGGAAAGUCGGGCGUGAAAUCCCUGGGCUCAACCCCAGGAACUGCACUCGAAACUUCUUUUCUUGAGUGCCGGAGAGGAAAGCGGAAUUCCUGGUGUAGAGGUGAAAUUCGUAGAUAUCAGGGAGGAACACCAGUGGCGAAGGCGGCUUUCUGGACGGUAACUGACGCUGAGACGCGAAAGCGUGGGGAGCAAACAGG